rnacentral:piRNA from 1 species
UGGUGAGACUCCUACAAUACGACAGACAC